UACGUAUGUGUGGAGCUGAAGGUUGGC
rnacentral:piRNA from 1 species